AUUUUAGGCCCUUGAAUUAAAUAAUGACAAAUAGGAGGCAGGGCGCCGGCGAGGCUGAGGCAGCGCCGUGUAUUUCAGCGUGCGGUGCUGUCAGGCCUGAUAAAUCGGAUCCCUGAAAUAGUUUGUAAAGUCCUGAAUUGAUGUGGCUGUUGGCGAGGGAGAGAAUUAAUGUUACGAAAUAGGCCUGCAACCAGGAUUGGAGGGAAGCGGAGGGAAGCCUUUUAUGCGAAUGCUGUGUCCGUGGAGGAAAUGGUUGCCACGGCAAGUCAGUGGAUUCUGAAGUUGAACGCUUGACUCCUCAAUUUCCUGCCUUUCUUCUGUCCCACCUGCUUCGUGACUCAUUCCUGCCUUAAUUGCACGGAACAGAGACCGCCUUGUGUAGUCACUGGUAUCGAUGGACCCUUGGCGAGUGUCAAGAGUCACACGUGCUACAAGGACCCUGCCUGCCUGCUUUCCCCUGGACAGAGAUAUUUAAUUGCAUUUGUUCACAUCUUCUCAAUACUCUUGGAUUUUGCUUGGUCUGUUCAUUACUGAAG
rnacentral:lncRNA from 1 species